rnacentral:lncRNA from 1 species
AGAGAACUCUUCCUGGGAAACUGUUUCAGGGCUCAGAAAGAAAGAGCUGUACUUUUUUCGUAUCAUAACCAGUUUCUGAAACUUAAGCUUUUAAACAAAAUACAAAUAUUUGCAGUGCAAAUAGGCUCUUUUUCAAAUGUUUUAGCUAAAGACUCCAAUUUCCAUCACAAAUGGCUUUAUGGGAAAUUUCUGACCACUUCUCUGUUUAUCUCAAGCAGAUUGUGGCAGAGAGGUGGGAGGAGGUAUCAGUCUUUAUGGGCCCAUCUUUCCCUCCUUGCCUUGCAGAUCAACACAGAAACAGAAGAAAGCUUUGAUGACAGCAAGGUUUAUUCUGAGAAGAAGGAGAAUGUGAAUUAUUCGGCCAUCUCCACAGGAUAUUUUCCAUAUUACAGAUCGAAUGAGGAGCAGUUUGUCCAGCCACUCCUAUAUGGCUUAAAUGCAGAGGGAGAGAAGCCUGAAAGCAACUGGAAAGAUGAAGGAGAAGGUGGAUUUGGUGGAGAUGCUGAGAAGACCACCCGCCCAGCUUUGGGGGCAGAGAGGAAGCCGUGUUCUUCCAUGGCCAAUAGAGAGCCAACAUCCCAGCAGCUCCUAGGAGGCAGCACCUUGGGAAGCUGCCUGCCAACCUUCACCCUCCCCACCACACUGCCAAGCCUGGACCGGCCCUUUUCUUCCCCUGGCUACGUCCCUUACUACAGAACAGAAGCAGAGCUCUGCAUCGGCCCAGCAGUGUGUGACAGGUUUCUCACCAGGACAGAAAUUUUGCAGAAUGAAGAGGGAAGAUGGGUAGAAGAAAAAAACACUUGGAAUUUUGGAGCCAGCUGCUUGGUGUCCUGAGAACAAAGCAAGUUUGUCAGCAAAAGGCAGAAACUGGUUUAACGUAGACGUGAAUUAGAAGUGCUUGAAAGCUACAGCCACGUGAACAGCUGUAUGAAUAUGGAAUAAGUGUACUUCUCCCUUUGAAUAAAACAGUAAGUGAAAAGCUGGACUCUGUAAUG